AUUUUACUUACAGAUCACCAAAAAACCAAAUUCGUUUUGGUAUUUGCAAAGCGAAAUACAGAAAUAUACAGACCACUCCAAAACGUAUAUUCUAAGUUAUCGUGCCAUAGUUCAUCCAUUGAAACCUUGGUUCAGUCGACGAAAGAUAAACAUCGUUUGUGGCUUAGCGUACAUCAUUAGUUUGGUUGUGGCAGUUGGAAUAGUAAUUGUCAAGUGCGUUGACGAUCCUGAACGUCGUUAUUACAUUUACGAAGUGCUUCCGUUUUUUUUAUGUGCCCACAUUUUCCCAAUAGUCUUCAUGACUGUGACUUACUCCAUAAUCGCUCGAGCAUUGAUGAAACAAAGAAAAGCCCUAAGAACAUUCUCCAAUGCAACACCGUCUCAUUUUCAAUACUCCUUCAACUCAAGUUCUCAAAGAUAUAUUCGAAGUUUGAAAACAUUUAUUGUUUGUGCUUUAACGGUUCUCUGUUUUUCAGUUGGUCAGAUUUAUUAUAUGACAGCUUGAUUUCAGAACUAUUAUAAUGCAGAAACUAACGUGAUACAUUAUUUUGUUGGUGUUUGUGUUAAGAUUCUUGCCUCAAACGCUGUCAAUCCAUUAAUCUAUGGAAUAUUUGACAGACAAGUUUUGUACUUUUGGAAGUGCUGUACAAAACGAUUUUAGCAAAUGCAGAUAACAAAACGUUUUUAAUCACUUGCAUGUUUCCUGUUCUAAUCUAGUAGUGGAGAUGUUUAAAAAUUUUAAUAUCUUCAAACAAGAAUUAUACCUUUUACAAAUUUAA